CCAGGCACCACUGUUUCCUAGGACUUAGCUUCUCUCCUUCCUGCACCCCUGACCCCGCCCACAGCUCAGCACCUGGGGGUCACACAGAGCAGCGACGGGCCACCUGACUGCCCCGGAAGAGCCAUGUCCACAGCUGGGCCUGGCCCAAGUCGGAUUCUGGACCCUGGAGGACCUGAGCCCCUAAAAGGCCGACCCAAGCUGGGCCUGGCUGGGAACAUUAGAAGGGACCGAGGCGGCGAGAUGUCUAAAAUAGGAAGACGCCGGGGAUGCUUGGCCUGGCUGCCCGCGAUGCUGGCUGCAGGGAUCUGGCCGGGCUGUGCAGAUGGAAAAGCUAAGAGCUGCCAUGAUAGAAACAGCUUCCCUCCACCAUGCCAUUAUGUUUCUCUCUCAUCUCAGGCCUAAAAGUCGUGGAAUCAGCUGACCAUGGACUGAAACCUCUGAAACCAUGAGCCAAAAUAAAUGUUUUCUACUUUAAGUUGAUUUCCUCAGGUAUUUUGUCAUAGCACCAGCAAGCUGGCUGACACACGGUGAGGUGGAGGGAAAGCUUCACUGGAUCCUAAUCAGGGAUGAUCCCCCCUGGGUGAGG
rnacentral:lncRNA from 1 species